rnacentral:rRNA from 1 species
AUUGAACGCUGGCGGCAGGCCUAACACAUGCAAGUCGAACGAGUGGCGGACGGGUGAGUAAUGUCUGGGAAACUGCCUGAUGGAGGGGGAUAACUACUGGAAACGGUAGCUAAUACCGCAUACCAUCGGAUGUGCCCAGAUGGGAUUAGCUAGUAGGUGGGGUAACGGCUCACCUAGGCGACGAUCCCUAGCUGGUCUGAGAGGAUGACCAGCCACACUGAAACUGAGACAGGGUCAAGACCCCUACGGGAGGCAGCAGUGGGGAAUAUUGCACAAUGGGCGCAAGCCUGAUGCAGCCAUGCCGAGUGAAUGAAGAAGGACUUCGGGUUGUAAAGUACGUUCAGCGGGGAGGCGUUACGCGCAGAAGAAGCACCGGCUAACUCCGUGCCAGCAGCCGCGGUAAUUC